rnacentral:lncRNA from 10 species
UUCAUGUAUCACUAUUUGUCUAGGACUAGAAUUUUGAGAGGCAAAUCAUUUGAUCACGUAAAAAUAGAAACUUUGAUAACCUCACACAUUGUUCCAUACUUAGCUGGUUUUGUUUGCAUCUUUCUGCAAACAUUAAGAGGAGAUGGAUUUGAUUCUCCUUUUUUUUUGCUAUGGUUCAUGUAAACAGCUGACUGCUACAUGAAGUAUCCUUUGCCUCUUAAAAUUCUAGUCCCAGACAAACAGUAAUACUGUAUUGUAAUCCAUUUUAAGACAUGAAAGAAUGCAGACAACUCCUCUGUCUCUUCAGAAGCUAAAGCAAGGAAGAAGCAGAGAUUCCAGAAUUCAGCAACAGACAUGGGGAAGAGCGAGUCUCACUGGAGAAGCAGAGGGAGAGGCUUCCCGGGAACCAGGCUUAAUUAAGCAAAGUAUCACCCUCGGUACACAUGUGUUCAGAAAAUUACACAAGUGAAAACAGGAAGCAGUGAACAAGGAAAUGCAAUCAUAGUAUAUUACUGAUGUUUGGCUCUACAAUGGAUAGAUUUUCAGUUCAUUCUGUGACAAUGCUAUAAACAAUGAUAGCCAAUUAAAAAGAGGUAAAGGCCUGGUGUGGUGGCUCACCCUGUAUUUUUUAAAAGAUGAUUCUGAU